rnacentral:rRNA from 4 species
CAGCCGCGGUAAUUCCAGCUCCAAUAGCGUAUACUUAAGUUGUUGCAGUUAAAAAGCUCGUAGUUGAAAUUCGAGUCAGUUACUAGUUGGCUCUUCGUCAGUUAGUUAAUUGAUUCUCCGUCUACAAUCCCUUUUGCGCUUUAGGGUUGCAGCUGGGCGAGUAGACAAUUUACCUUGAAAAAAUUAGAGUGUUCCAGGCAGGUCUUCGCCGGAAUACAUUAGCAUGGAAUAAUGGAAUAGGACUUGGGUCUUUUGUUGGUUUUAGGAUCUGAGUAAUGAUUAAUAGGGACAGAUGGGGGCAUUAGUAUUUAAUUGUCAGAGGUGAAAUUCUUGGAUUUAUUAAAGACUAACUUAUGCGAAAGCAUUUGCCAAGGAUGUUUUCAUUAAUCAAGAACGAAAGUUAGGGGAUCAAAGACGAUCAGAUACCGUCGUAGUCUUAACUAUAAACUAUACCGACUCGAGAUCGGAAGGGUAAUAUAUUAGUCCCUUUCGGCAUCGUAAGAGAA